AGAGUUUGAUCCUGGCUCAGGACGAACGUUGGCGGCGUGCUUAAUACAUGCAAGUCAACUGAAGCAUCGGUAGCAAUACUGGUGUGGAGGUGGCGCACGGGUGAGUAACACGUAGGUAAUCUACCUAUAGGACUGACAUAACUCCGGGAAACCGGUGCUAAUAUCAGAUGAUGCAGCGGCUCGACAUCGAGACAGUUGUUAAACCUUCGGGGCCUAUAGAUGAGCCUGCGUCUGAUUAGCUAGUUGGCGGAGUAACAGCCCACCAAGGCAACGAUCAGUAGCUGGUCUGAGAGGAUGAUCAGCCACACUGGAACUGAGAUACGGUCCAGACUCCUACGGGAGGCAGCAGUAAGGAAUAUUGCUCAAUGGCCGAAAGGCUGAAGCAGCAACGCCGCGUGGGGGAUGAAGGGCUUUUGCUUGUAAACCCCUGUAGCGAGGGAAAAAAUCUCCAUUCUAUGGAGGAUGAUGGUACCUCGAAAGUAAGCGUCGGCUAACUACGUGCCAGCAGCCGCGGUAAUACGUAGGACGCAAACGUUGUCCGGAUUUACUGGGUGUAAAGGGUGCUCAGGCGGUCUUGUAAGUCAGUGGUGAAAUCCCGGAGCUCAACUCCGGAACUGCCUUUGAUACUACAAGGCUUGAGUAUGGAAGAGGUGGAUGGAAUUUCUGGUGUAGCAGUGAAAUGCGUAGAUAUCAGAAAGAACACCAGUGGCGAAGGCGGUCUACUGGUCCAUUACUGACGCUAAAGCACGAAAGCAUGGGGAGCAAACAGGAUUAGAUACCCUGGUAGUCC
rnacentral:rRNA from 1 species